rnacentral:rRNA from 1 species
AUUGAACGCUGGCGGCAGGCCUAACACAUGCAAGUCGAACGAGUGGCGGACGGGUGAGUAAUGUCUGGGAAACUGCCUGAUGGAGGGGGAUAACUACUGGAAACGGUAGCUAAUACCGCAUACCAUCGGAUGUGCCCAGAUGGGAUUAGCUAGUCGGUGGGGUAACGGCUCACCUGGGCGACGAUCCCUAGCUGGUCUGAGAGGAUGACCACCAACACUGGAACGGGAACCCGGUCCAAACUCCUACGGGAGGCAGAAGUGGGGAAUAUUGGACAAUGGGGGAAAGCCUGAUGCGUAAAUGCGGCGUGGAUGAGGAAGGCCUUCGGGUUGUAAAGUACUUUCAGCGGGGAGGCGUUACCGGAAGAGGAAGCACCGGCUAACUACGUGCCAGCAGCCGCGGUAAUUC